AAAUUGAAGAGUUUGAUCAUGGCUCAGAUUGAACGCUGGCGGCAGGCCUAACACAUGCAAGUCGAACGGUAACAGGAAGCAGCUUGCUGCUUUGCUGACGAGUGGCGGACGGGUGAGUAAUGUCUGGGAAACUGCCUGAUGGAGGGGGAUAACUACUGGAAACGGUGGCUAAUACCGCAUAACGUCGCAAGACCAAAGAGGGGGACCUUCGGGCCUCUUGCCAUCAGAUGUGCCCAGAUGGGAUUAGCUUGUUGGUGAGGUAACGGCUCACCAAGGCGACGAUCCCUAGCUGGUCUGAGAGGAUGACCAGCCACACUGGAACUGAGACACGGUCCAGACUCCUACGGGAGGCAGCAGUGGGGAAUAUUGCACAAUGGGCGCAAGCCUGAUGCAGCCAUGCCGCGUGUAUGAAGAAGGCCUUCGGGUUGUAAAGUACUUUCAGCGGGGAGGAAGGUGUUGUGGUUAAUAACCGCAGCAAUUGACGUUACCCGCAGAAGAAGCACCGGCUAACUCCGUGCCAGCAGCCGCGGUAAUACGGAGGGUGCAAGCGUUAAUCGGAAUUACUGGGCGUAAAGCGCACGCAGGCGGUCUGUCAAGUC
rnacentral:rRNA from 4 species